rnacentral:lncRNA from 1 species
UGGAAUAUUAGGUGUUGAGAUUUGGCAAUUGAAUUGCAUGCAUUUUUGCAUGUAAUUAGGCUAUAAAUAGAGAUGUUUUCAAAUGUUGAAGGACUUUUGCCUCUUUUAUCAUUUUCAUAAUCUCAACAAAAGAAAAAAGAAAGCUUCCAAUCUCAUUUUAUCUCCAUUACUUUCUACACCAAAAUUGGGUCCCACAACCCGGUUCUUUGUCUAGAGGAUAGCAGUUGAGUACUAGUGGUGGUCUCGGGUAGAAUUGGUAAGAAGACAUCAAACCUUUUGAAAGCUUCAAAGGUAAUACUUCUUAAAACCCUAAUUUGAUUAGUUUAUGGUUAGAUGUUAAUUGUGGCAAUUAGGGUAGAAAUUCGAUUCUUUUUCCGCUGUGCAUGAAUUAGUUCUAUCAAUAUAUAUAUAUAAAAAGAAAAAUAUUAGGAUUCAAUCCCAACUCCUAGCUCAAUCUCAACUCCUAAGAUUUGUUGGUUUGUUGAGAAGUAGAAGGAGAAGUUGGUGAUGGAUGCAUUUCUUACCCUAUAAAUAGAUAACAAAGUUGAGAGCAAAAAUCAUUCCCUUCUUCAUCAUCACUUUUUGGCUUUCAAAAGUUUUUCGAAUUUUCUUUUUUAUGAAUGGUAGCAACUCAAAGAAAAGAAGAUUUUUUUUUUUUUAAUUCAAGUUAUUUUCACUUUACUAUUUUUUAUAUAUAUAUUUUUUCAUAUGUAUUUUCUUUUCUUUUUUCAUUUUCUUUUUCCCUUUUUUUUAACUGACUUUCACUUUGGCCAUUUUUUUUCAGUCAUUCCUUGAAGGCUCUAUGCAAGUAUCUUGGCUUCAUGGGUUUGUACAUGAUAGACGAUGCAACUCUAUCAUGGCGUCUAUACAACUCUAUCAUGGCGUCUACUGUUUCUUCGGGUUCUGCUUCUUGGGUUUGUACAUGAUAGACAAUGCAACUCUAUCAUGGCGCCCACUGCUGUUGCGACUUUUUGGGUUUGUACAUGAUAGACGAUGCAACUUUAUCAUGGCGCUCAUUGCACAUAUUGGGUUUGUACAUGAUAGACGAUGCAACUCUAUAAUGGCGCCCACUGUUGCUGCGACUUCUUGGAUUUGUACAUGAUAGACGAUGCAACUCUAUCAUGGCGCCCAUUGUUGCUGUGACUUCUUGGGUUUGUACAUGAUAGACGAUGCAACUCUAUCAUGGCGCCCACUAUUUCUUCGGCUUCUGCUUCUUGGGUUUGUACAUGAUAGACGAUGCAACUCUAUCAUGGCGCCCACUGCUGCUGCGACUUUUUGGGUUUGUACAUGAUAAACGAUGCAACUCUAUCAUGGCGCCCAUUGCUGCUAUGACCUCUUGGGUUUGUACAUGAUAGACGAUGCAACUCUAUCUUGGCGCCCACUAUUUCUUCGGCUUCUGCUUCUUGGGUUUGUACAUGAUAGACGAUGCAACUCUAUCAUCGCGCUCAUUGCUGCUGUGACUUCUUGGGUUUGUACACGAUAGACGAUGCAACUCUAUCAUGGCGCCCACUACUUCUUCGACUUUUUGGGUUUGUACAUGAUAGACGAUGCAACUCUAUCAUGGCGUCCAUUGCUGCUGUGACUUCUUGGGUUUGUACAUGAUAGACGAUGCAACUCUAUCAUGGCGUCCACUGCUGCUGCGACUUCUUGGGUUUGUACAUGAUAGACGAUGCAACUCUAUCAUAGCGCCCAUUGCUGCUGUGACAUCUUCGGUUUGUACAUGAUAGACGAUGCAACUCUAUCAUGACGCCUAUUGCUUCUUCGACUUUUUGGAUUUAUACAUGAUAGACGAUCCAACUCUAUCAUGGCGCCUACUGCUGCUGCGACUUCUUGCGUUUGUACAUGAUAAACGAUGCAACUCUAUCAUGACGCACAUUGUUGUUGUAACACGUCGAAGAAGAUGAAGAUAAAUUCUCCCGGCUGCAACAUAUGUGAGAAUGAAGAUGAUGAUAGUUGCUGCAACACGUCGAAGAUGCUGAUGAUGACGGCUGCUGCAACAGAUCGAAGAAGAUGAAGAUAAAUCCUCUCGGCUACAAUACAUCGAAGAAGAUGAAGAUGAAUCCUCUCGACUGCAGCAUAUGUGAGAAUGAAUAUGAAUUCUCUCGACUGUAACACCUAAGAGAAAAUGAAGAUGAUGACAGCUAUUGUAACACGUCGAAGAUGCAGAUGAUGACGGCUGCUACAACACGUCAAAGAAGAUGGAGAUGAAUCCUCUCAGCUGCCACAUAUGUGAAAAGAUGAAGAUCCUCUCGACUGUAACACGUGGGAAGACGAAGAUGAGGAUAGCUGCUGCAACACGUUGAAAAUGCAGAUGAUGACAACUGCUGCAACAUGUGAGAGAAGAAGAUGCUCCACUCUCAGCCACAACACUUGAGGAAAAGCUAGAGCUUACUAAUUUGACUUUGCCCCCUUUCUUUUCUGUUGUAACUCCUCAUGAAUUUCAUUUUCUAUUGAGAUUACAUCAUCGCGGCGAAACAUAAUACCUUUUUUUUUUCGUUCGACUGAACUCAAAGUAAACUUUAAGUUGCCUACGUACCCUUUUUUUAUAACAUAAAGAUGAAGUCAU